GAUGAACGCUGGCGGCGUGCCUAAUACAUGCAAGUCGAGCGAACAGACGAGGAGCUUGCUCCUCUGACGUUAGCGGCGGACGGGUGAGUAACACGAGGAGAACCUACUUAUACGACUGGGAUAACAUCGGCAAACCGGAGCGAAUACCGGGUAAUAUAUUGAACCGCACGGAUCAUGAGUGAAAGACGGUUAUGCUGUCACUUGUAGAUGGACCCGCGCCGCAUUAGCUAGUUGGUAAGGUAACGGCGUACCAAGGCAACGAUGCGUAGCCGCCCUGAGAGGGUGGUCGGCCACACUGCAGCUGAGACGACGUCCAGACUCCUACGGGAGGCAGCAGCAGGGAAUCUUCCGCAAUGAGCGGAGGCCUGAUGGAGCAGCGCCGCGUGGGUGGUGAUGGUCUUCUGAUCGUAGAACUCUGUUAUUAGGGAAGAACAAAUGUGGAAGUAACUGUGCACGUCUUGACGGUACCUAGUCAGAAAGCCCCGGCUAACUACGUG
rnacentral:rRNA from 1 species